rnacentral:lncRNA from 1 species
GACAGACAAUAAAAAUUAGAUAAUUUUUUCUUAUAAAAAUAGUAUUACUUAAACAACAACUAGUAUUAAAUAAUUGCGUGAAAAAAACUAGCGUUAAAUAAUAAAUAGGCUUAAUACAUUAUUUGAUCCCUUAACUUAUUUUUGGUUUUCACUUUGGUCCCUUAACUAUAAAGUGUCUCAAUUUGAUGCCAUAAAUUUUCUGCCGUUUACCGUUUUGGUCCUCUCCGUUAAUUUUUUAAUGUCUGAUAUUUUUCAUAUGAUUAUAACCGUUUGAUUUAAGGUCCAUAGUAUACUAUGGUGAACCACCCAUAUCUGAUUUUUUUUUCUUUCCUUCUCUUCUUCUUCUCCAGACCAGAAAUCAACAACAAAUUCAGAAAUUCAACAACAAAAUCAUCAUCACCAAAAAACUAAAACAAUCUUGUACUAUACAAUAGUUGAGACACCUGCCAUGCUUGCUACACCAUUUCAACCACUAUAGCCCCUUUUGCAGAAACCACAACAUAACACAAUAUCAAAAACUUAAGGGGAAGAUUAUCUAUGUCAAUUGAAGGCUUUCGCCGUCUCAGUCCUUUCUCGACGAAAUCGUUACUUCACGUUGACAAGGCUUUCGCCGCUGCCGUCACAUAAAGUUUCAACCUUUCAACCUUGUAAACGUCCUCCGCGAAGCCGACGCCGAUCAAGACGGUGGUAGCGCGAUAAUUCAUGGUUUCAUCUCUAAAUCAAUUGAAUUUCUGUUUGGAUCUAGAUUCGAUCAGUUGUUGUAGCAGUUUCUACAAUAUGUUAUCGCCACUGUUUUGAAGAUUCUGUUUGGAUCUAGAUUUAAUCAGUUGCUGGAGCAGUUUUUGUAAGCGGAGAUGAAUGACUUCUUAACGGCUGGAGAAUGCGCCGGCGUAAAAAACACCUUAAGCUUGAACGGAAGAUGGUGGUUUUCGCCGGAGAAUCGAUGUUGAUAUGCAAACUGCAAAGUGCAGGUUAAGAAGUAGCAAUACAAUUUACGAUUUGUAAAGAGAUGGUGAUUUGUAAUGUUGAGAAUGUUUUUAAGAGGCUAAAAUAUGGUUUUAGUCCCUGUAAAUAUGCCUCGUUUUGAUUUUAGUCCCUGGUAAAAAAAAAAAUUGUUUUUGG